CCUGUUUCAACAGGAAACGCAUCACAACAAGGAAGUGAUAGAUCCCAUGAGGCCCAGCAGACCUGUAACCUGCUGCAGAGAGUGAAGUGGAAGAUAAACACACAUUAAAACACAGUUAAUCCUUUACGUUUACCCACAAUCCUCUGUUCUCUUUGUGGACAGUUGACCACAUCUUCAGGUAGAGCGGCGUGUGUGAAUCACAGCGGUGGUGGUGAUGGUGGCAAUGGUGAUGGUGGUUGUUCAGGAGGAGAAGGUCGAUGGAGGGAAGGUGACAUCAUCUCUCCACCUGAGGCGGCGGAGCUGACACCUCCAUCUCUCCGACAGAUUUAAGGACGUUGAUCCUCGAUGGACAUCAGAGAUAAUGAUGUCCUCUGGAAGUGGAGCCGCUGGAGAGGAGCUGAAGAGACGCAGGUUGCUGACCGCUGGUUUAUAUCAAGUGUAGAUCACACAAUGUAAAUUUCACCAGACUCCGUUCACAAAAGCAGUGAUUUAACCUCUCAGAACAGGAGAGUUGCUGAUUUACCGCUGCAUUGAACCCUCGGCUCCCGUCCUCCAUGAAGGACGCCGCUGCAGACCUUCAGAGACGCCGUUCAC